AAUAAGCGUAAUCAUGAGUUUUCGUGUCCAACUUAUUUAAAUUUUUUUCUGAUUAGUAUUUUAAUUAUUAUUUUUUUGACUGGAAGUAUUUUAAUUAUUAUUAGAUUAUAAAAUAUGAAUAGUAUUUUAUGCGAGACUUAUGUUUUUUUUUAUUUUUUUUAAAAAAAUUUAAAUAAGACAGACAAUUAAAGUUGGAGAUAGGAACUCAUUGCUGUGCUUAUU
rnacentral:pre_miRNA from 1 species